GCCUUAACACAUGCAAGUCGAACGAAGGCUUCGGCCUUAGUGGCGCACGGGUGCGUAACGCGUGGGAAUCUGCCCUCAGGUUCGGAAUAACAGCGANAAAUUGGUGNUAAUACCGGAUGAUAUCGCGAGAUCAAAGAUUUUGCGNNGGAGGAUGANCCCGCGUAGGAUUAGCUAGUUGGUGUGGUAAAGGCGCACCAAGGCGACGAUCCUUAUCUGGUCUGAGAGGAUGAUCAGCCACACUGGGACUGAGACACGGCCCAGACUCCUACGGGAGGCAGCAGUGGGGAAUAUUGGACAAUGGGCGAAAGCCUGAUCCAGCAAUGCCGCGUGAGUGAUGAAGGCCUUAGGGUUGUAAAGCUCUUUUACCCGGGAUGAUAAUGACAGUACCGGGAGAAUAAGCUCCGGCUAACUCCGUGCCAGCAGCCGCGGUAAUACGGAGGGAGCUAGCGUUAUUCGGAAUUACUGGGCGUAAAGCGCACGUAGGCGGCUUUGUAAGUUAGAGGUGAAAGCCUGGAGCUCAACUCCAGAAUUGCCUUUAAGACUGCAUCGCUUUGAAUCCAGGAGAGGUGAGUGGAAU
rnacentral:rRNA from 1 species